rnacentral:misc_RNA from 1 species
UUUUGAGAUGGUAAAAUAAAACCCAUUAAGCAAAGCCUGCGCAGUAUAUACAAAUAAUAGAACAAAACAGAGCUUCUAUACUAAUCUAGCCCCAAAGCAUUUCAUGCACUAAUAUACUCCAAAGGCAACUACAGAAUAAUGGAGUCUUUGCCCAAAAAGGCUCGAACCAGUUGUUCACAGAUUGUGAGCGAAAGAUUUCACUGGUCAAUUAUUCCUUCUAAAGUACUCAAAAGAAAGGACACGAAAAUUUUAGAAUAAAAGUAAUGUGAGAUAGAAUUACUCAGAAACAAAAAGGGAAAAAAUCGAAAAGAGGAUGAGGAGAAGGACAAGUAUUUAACAUGAGAUUACUGAGGAGAAAGUGGGGGAAAGAUGAAAAUUAAGAAAAAUAUAUUGAAGAACCACGUAAUGAAAUCUGGCCCUGUGCCGAGACUGCCAUCAACUCGUUGGCCCAGAACUAGAGCCGGCGCCGGAACUUGAGCUGGAUCCAGAGAGCAGUUCAGCAAGAGCGCUCAUGGCUCGAACUUGCAUCUCCAAAGCAGCUAUAUAAUCAGUCGCUUCUUCUAGAAUAACAGGCAAUGGUUGUUUCCGACAACCAGGAACCAAUCGGCCUAGAAGCCGCACUUUCCUUUGCACAGCCGGCAAACUCUUCCCUUUCAACCUCAAAACGCUAACUCUCGGCUUCUUCGAUCGGCUAGUU